rnacentral:rRNA from 1 species
UGGGGAAUCUUGCACAAUGGGCGAAAGCCUGAUGCAGCGACGCCGCGUGGGGGAUGAAGGCCCUCGGGUUGUAAACCCCUUUCGGCAGGGACGAAGCGACAAGUGACGGUACCUGCAGAAGAAGUCCCGGCUAACUACGUGCCAGCAGCCGCGGUAAGACGUAGGGGACGAGCGUUGUCCGGAUUUAUUGGGCGUAAAGCGCGCGCAGGCGGCUACGCAAGUCGGAUGUGAAAUCCCGAGGCUCAACCUCAGGACUGCACCCGAUACUGCGUGGCUAGAGGUAGGUAGGGGAGAUCGGAAUUCCUGGUGUAGCGGUGAAAUGCGCAGAUAUCAGGAGGAACACCGGUGGCGAAGGCGGAUCUCUGGGCCUUACCUGACGCUCAGGCGCGAAAGCUAGGGGAGCGAACAG